GAAAUAUUUAAGAAAAUUAAAUUUUCCCUGCUGUGCGAGGGCCCAGUGAAGUGUGACGAAAAGAAAAACCAUUUCCGAAGAAAGUAAAUUUUGCAAAUCAAAACCAAGCACUUGGAUCCGGUCUGGACUAUUAAACGCCUCAUCCGCCAUGGAAGGACCUCAACUAGAGCCCCCCUGCUCGUCCUCGGAAUCCUGCUCAGCGCUGAGUACGUGAACGUCUCCGCGGAGAAUGUCCGCUUGCAUGACAAUUGUAGCGUGCCGGCAUUCAGAAAACGCAGCAGCAGCAGACGACGCGGCUGAGCGAGCAGUACGUGAAGUGAUUCUCAACAAGCAGCGGCAGUAGGGCGCGAAGGAGCAGGGCCAGGAGCAAGGACAUCCCACAUCCAGCAUCCAACGCACAUGCACGACAGAAGGGCUUAGCACCUGCACUCGAGCCGCAGACAGCAGAAGAGCCAACGCACGGAAUAAUUCACUUAAACUGCCAUAUAUUUUGCAAACAAAAAA